UCACUUAGUGACAAAAUAAUU
rnacentral:piRNA from 1 species